ACCGGGUUAGAAUCCAACCCACGAACACAAACCACUAGCUCACAAUCCCCACUAAUAACCUACAGGAAUCGGUUUCCCAAAACAUAUUGCCGUAACUCACCGAAAAUCCCAAAAAUCAUACCGGGACUCCGCCGCCACGAACUGUCCCGAAACUCACCGACUCGAGAUACGAGUCACCCACUACCACUAAACACAAAUUUUCGUUUGACAUAGCAGCAAAAACAUUAUCUCACUUCGAAACGAUUAUCAUCGGAUAAUCGUUCCGAUCCGGGUUCUCGAAAGUAUCCAAUUCGACACCGGAACCCACCAUCGCUCACCCGUCGUUUUCGAACCCUCGAAACGACGCGGGUGACCAACCAACCAGGCUCAACGAUGACACAAAUUAUCACGAGGCACCGUCGGAAGAAUUUCGAACCGAAACGCGUUCCGUCAGCGAAUUUCACCGAAAAACGCACCGAAAAUCAACAUUGGAUUUCCAAAAAGGUUUCGGGCCUUGGACAACCAGUCCAAAGGUCACUGACUGCCCGUACACGCUGCCAACAGCAGCCCCUAAUGCACAAUUACAUAACAUAAAAUUCUAAAUCUUCUGUUUUCAUUCCGAUUUCACCAUGAGUCACUUCCGACUCAUAUUUUACUUCUUUAAGUCCAAUAAAAAUAGUAUCUCACACUAUCUUUAUUCAUGCUUACUUUUACAUUAAAUCCGGUACAUUACAUAUAGCCACAUUUGCUAGUUUGCCACAAGCCACAAUAGGUUUCUUUUACC
rnacentral:lncRNA from 1 species